GGGGAGGUAGUGACGAAAAAUAACGAUACGGGACUCAUCCGAGGCCCCGUAAUCGGAAUGAGUAUACUCUAAAUCCUUAUGCGAGUAUCAAUUGGAGGGCAAGUCUGGUGCCAGCAGCCGCGGUAAUUCCAGCUCCAAUAGCGUAUAUUAAAGUUGUUGCGGUUAAAAAGCUCGUAGUUGGAUCUGUGUCCCGCGCCGUCGGUUCACCGCCUGUCGGUGUUCAACUGGCGUGUAUGCGGGACGUCCUGCCGGUGGUGGUCCGGUGGCCCGUCGGUUCGUAGGGUUCGUCCUCGCGUCGUUCCCGAAGGCCUUCGCGGUUUUCCGGCCGCCUUUUCGAUCCCGUCGCGGUGCUCUUUACCGAGUGUCGAGGCGGGCCGGCACGUUUACUUUGAACAAAUUAGAGUGCUUUAAGCAGGCCCUGUCCCGCCUGUAUGUUGUGUGCAUGGAAUAAUGGAAUAGGACCUCGGUUCUAUUUUGUUGGUUUUCGGAAUCUGAGGUAAUGAUCAAUGGGGACAGGCGGGGGCAUUCGUAUUGCGACGUUAGAGGUGAAAUUCUUGGAUCGUCGCAAGACGGACCGAAGCGAAAGCAUUUGCCAAGUAUGUUCUCGUCGAUCAAGAACGAAAGUUAGAGGUUCGAAGGCGAUCAGAUACCGCCCUAGUUCUAACCAUAAACUAUGCCUGCCAGCGAUCCGCCGAAGUUCCUCCGAUGACUCGGCGGGCAGCUUCCGGGAAACCAGAGCUUUUGGGUUCCGGGGGAAGUAUGGUUGCAAAGCUGAAACUUAAAGGAAUUGACGGAAGGGCACCACCAGGAGUGGAGCCUGCGGCUUAAUUUGACUCAACACGGGAAAACUCACCAGGCCCGGACACCGGAAGGAUUGACAGAUUGAGAGCUCUUUCUUGAUUCGGUGGGUGGUGGUGCAUGGCCGUUCUUAGUUGGUGGAGCGAUUUGUCUGGUUAAUUCCGAUAACGAACGAGACUCUAGCCUACUAACUAGGCGUACCCGGUAUCCACAAUCGUGCUACCGGCGAUCAAAUUUCUUCUUAGAGGGACAGGCGGCUUCUAGCCGCACGAGACUGAGCAAUAACAGGUCUGUGAUGCCCUUAGAUGUCCUGGGCCGCACGCGCGCUACACUGAAGGAAUCAGCGUGUCUUCCCUGUCCGAAAGGACCGGGUAACCCGCUGAACCUCCUUUGUGCUAGGGAUUGGGGCUUGCAAUUGUUCCCCAUGAACGAGGAAUUCCCAGUAAGCGCGAGUCAUAAGCUCGCGUUGAUUACGUCCCUGCCCUUUGUACACACCGCCCGUCGCUACUACCGAUUGAAUGAUUUAGUGAGGUCUUCGGACUGGUGCGCAGAGGCCGCUUCCGCGGUCUUUGAUGUUGCCGGAAAGAUGACCAAA
rnacentral:rRNA from 1 species